UAGAGAAGUCUUUAUCACUCCUGGUUUGUUCCAUACUUUCUUUUCAUAAAUGUAUCAGAAAGAUAGUGCUCCAUCCUAGCUUCUAGCAGGGCAUUAACACUCAACCCAGUCAAACUAAACGUGAAGAAAAAUAUUUUUAUAUAUCCAGAGGAAAACUUUAUCCUAUCUUGAGUUACACCAUUUCCUGGAAUCUAAUGCAACUUUCAGUUCACAGGAUACAGAACUGUCAUCACUUAGUCAUAUAUUCAUGCUGUUUGAUUGUUGAUUACCUGGUGGCUUGCUUACUUAACAAUCUCUGACUGACAGGAUUAGCUCAAGCAGUGCUGUAUACUGACAUCACAGAAAGAGUUAGUGGUUAUUUCAUUGUUAAGAGAUCUUAAGAGAAUGGCCAAAGUUUAAAUGAGUACAUACUGGAUUAUCAUUGUCUUGUUGAUGAUUCUCCUGAGUAGGGACUUACUGUUAGAAAGCAAGUUUCAAUUGCCCACUCUUCAUUUUCAAUAUUUAAAUAGACUUAAGGAUGAAAGUGAUGUUAUAAGAAGUCAGUAAUUCUUCUGGUUCUUAAGAGCUAAUAAUUUCAAAUAAACGUAAAACUUAUCCUUUAAAGUCUGAAGAGAACAAACCGCAUUUAUACAAUGUAGAGAAAUAGCAAAUAUUGAACUCUAUGCAGGCAGUAAAUUUUUUAUUUAGUAUUUAAUAAUAGGCCUACAAGAUUAGACUUAAAACAAUGAAAAAAUUAAAGGGCCAUUCUAAGGGAAUAAGUCAGUUUUAAUGGGUGAAGUUUUAUUGUCAUAUUCUAGUUAACAGACACUGCAUCCACUUUACUUCAAUUAUCAACAGUAUCUCAUGUUUUUCCCAAAUGAAGUCUGGAGACACAUUGUCACUGGGUACUACCUGAGUGAGUUUAGAAAAUAUUUCUUGUGACCUGCUGAUUUGCAUUCAAUUCCCAUGCCUCCGUCAAAAUGUUGAUAUUUGAUUGAAAAUUAUUCUGAACAGUCACAUUGCCUUGCUUCUUGCCUCAGAACCACCUCUCUUCUAACACUGCCUUCUCUUUCCGUAUCUUCCACCAAUCUCAUACCUGUCUUUGUUCCAACACAGUCUGACAUCCCUGUUUUCAGUCCAGCCACAUGCAGCCUGGUAGUUCCAGAAGUCUUUAUGCCAGUUGCAGAAGUAUUGAUGGUAACUACUGGAAGGUAGCUAUUGGUGGUAGGUGGGAAGGAAGGAAGAUUUGGGAAGGGAACUGGGACAGGCCUUAAGGGUAGGAUGUGAGGGGCACGGAUUUGCUAUACUGGAAUAGAAGGUGUAAGACAACUAAUGCAUUUAUUUUAAUAACUACAUUUUAAAGUAUCAACACUUUCUUACAUCUGCAAAGGAAUGAAAAGCUAUAGUUACCUAUAACUGUUCCAGCUGUCCUAAUGAAUGAAUCUCUUAAGUACCAGGAGGACUUUGGAGGGCAUCAACAUACCAUCCUAAAACACUGUUUUAUCUUUUAAAAAAUAAAUAACCAUCUAAUUGGAAGUAACUAUGUUUAUGUCUUAUACGUACUGGAUGAAAAUUGAAUGGUUACUGGCCAUAUUACUUAAAAACAAAGAUGAGCUCUAAUUUUAAUUGUUAUGACAAUGUUUUAGGUAUUCGUUAAAGGCUUCAUUGGCAUAGCAUUGGUAUAUAUAACUUCUGGUCAAGUUCUAGAACUGUGUUUUGGAUGCAUGCUUAGCAAUAUAAGCCAAUUAAUCUUUCUAUACCUACACUGAACUAAUGCUUGUUUUCUGGGACUGCUAAAAUUCAAGGAAAAGCCAGAUAGUAUUGUGAUGGCCAAAUCUUCGAUGCUAGAGCAAUCACUGGAAUACAUAAGUGUAAACUUAAUUUUUGAAAUCCUGAUCUCUGGGAUUAUUUGCAUAGUCUCCAGGUACAUUUGCAAUUGGUUUCAGCAGGCUGGAUAUUCACACAAGAGUUUUCAUAAUGGGAAAUAACAAAGAAAGGACUAAUGGACUAAACCCCAGAAGCUAUCUCCAGACGUGGAUGAAUAACCUUAAACACUCUCUUAGAAUUGCAAGAAUUUAUUGAUAUGCUUAGUUGUCUUAUAAGAUAUAGACAAGUUAUGUCUUGACCUAAGACAACUUAGGGCUGCAAGAAUUUACUAAUAUGCUUAAUUAACUGGUAAGAUGCAGCUGGUUUUGGUCAGGAGAUACCCUGAAGGGAGUCUCCAUACAUGACUCGAGAACCUAAAUAAACAUUCUUUGAGGACUUAAACGGUUCUUUGUCUAAAACUAGUCUGUCUACCCACUGCUUUGGUAAGAUGGUUUGCCUUUUUAGCAGGGCAUCCACUUCAGCACCGAAUUGUAAAAUAAAAAUGUUAUUGACUUUGCUUCGAGGACUUUGUCCUUUUCAAUAUUUUACCAGUGCACAAGUGUUUCUCGCACAAUUAAAACUGAAGGAAAAAUAUAGAUUGAACUAUAGCUUUGCCAUCCACGGGGCCCUGCAGAGGUGAGCUUGGAACAAUCGCUCCGCCCUUCUAUUUGUUCUGUGCUGUCCAAGAAGAGUGAAAGUGAUGAAUUAUGGCACAAGCAGCGCCUGGGGAGCGUGACACUGGACUUCAGCAGCACUCCUUCAGUCAGAACUCUGGCGUGUUUGGAGCCAGCUCUGCCUGACCUUGCCUUAGAGUUAGAAUGAAAACUCCAAGCAGAGUAAUCCCAGUGUGCUCCGAGUGGUUUCAUUUCUGGUGGACCAAGACUGAAGUCAUGUAUCUUUCAGGACGUGCCUUAUUACAUGUCUCUCACACAGCAAGCCAAAGUAGCAGCAACUGUUUGUUCUAAGAUACAUGAAGUGACUUUCCAAGACAGUCCUCCAAGGAGUACACUAAAGAGCUCUGAAGAGCUUGAAGAUGGUACAUACAGAGGGUCACACCUUUGAACUUCUCUUGACUGCCCUGAGACAUCCCACUGAAGCUGACAUUUAUGUUAAAUGACUUCACGCUGGUCUCAUUAUUGCAGUAAAUACUAAAUGAAUCUGAUGUUGAACACUUACAGUCUUACCUUUCUUGAUAAAUCUAUGUUAAUGUUACAUUAAUUAUUCCUGACUUACAAUGCUGUUGAAUGUUGAUAAAGGCUGAAUUGCUACUUGAAAUGCUGAUCCUGACAGUCCUGUGGCAGGCGCUAAAAUGUGAUUUCCAACUCUUAAGGGAAAAGAGGGAAUACAUUACUACUUCUGAUUAGAGGGCUUCAGAAGAAACAUAUUCUAGUCACAUAUUGUGGAGCGCUCGCCUGAAUCCCUCUUGCUUUCAGUAGCCAGUGCCUUUGCACAAGACAUAAAAGGAAUAUAAACUUCACUUUUUUAUUCAAAAUUUUAUGGUGAUUACUGAUGUGGAAUCAGUUCAGCGCAUAUGAACUGUUUCCCCUGAGAAAGUAUACAUGCUGCUGUGGGCAUUUUCUUUGCAUGUGAGAGCUGACACGUGGGACUAAAGCUUGCAAGCAAAGAGAGAGACUACUUCUCACUCGUAUCACCUUCCCUGCAAUUUUAGUUCUGAACUUUUUGACUCCAGACUCUCUCCUGGCCUGUUUCUGUGUACCUAUCAGUUAUCUUGGGUAUCCCUUGUGUAGCACUGCAGCUUUCAUGAUGUAAAGAGUAUGGGAACUGUGUAGCAAAAUAGAAGACUGCCAGGACAGGCAGUGCUGAAUCUCCCAGUGAAUUUAGUGCAGUAUUUGAAGAAAAAGGAUUUGGGACAAAAUUAAAAAAAGCCCCUGAGUAGUUUUAGAAGCCUCAGCCAUAAAUUUUUGAAAAAAUCCUCUGUGAUGACCUCAGGUACUGAUCCUUUCACCUGGGGGUUCCUGCACAGGCAGAUGCUCUGAUGAACACCCACCAAAGGCUGGGUCUAUUAGUACAGGGUCCUAUCAGCUGUGUUCAGCUGAGGUCCUCCAAAUUCCCAUCUUCUCAGGUGCUGCAGGAGGAAAUAAGCUGUGACAUUUCUCUUUUGCUCUACCCCUCCCCAAAGUCUGAAUUAACCCUUGUGGAAGCAGAAGUGGAAGAGGAAGGGAGGAGAAAUACUCAUGAAGUGGUGUUUUGGGGAGUGGGAGGAACCUUCUCUGCUGUCCUGCACAACCAACCAGUCGACCUUCACUGCAGGAAGAAGUGUUCCAUUUCUCAGAGGGUGUUUGAGGUUUCUGUUUGUUUGUUUAUUAAGAAAGCAAGCGAGCAUCUGGCAUAUGUAUGCAAACAUUGAUGAGUCAUUUGAAAUACACUCGGUGCUGCACUAGUUGAGGCUGAGACCUCCAAGCUACAAGAAGAAAUGUGAUGGAAGGGAGCAGGCAGACCCUGAAAGGCUGCUUUCCAAGCACAGGGAGGGGAGACAAAUCUGAUUUUUUCCCUCCUUUCUCUUCCCCCCUCACCACCACUCCUAGGAGCAUUUCCAGCCCUCUAAAACUCCUUGGUGAGGACUUUGAAAUCUGAGUUAAAAUGACUCUCUUUGAUGCUGCUGUGCCCUCCAUAGAGAGCCCAGCGCUUGCCAGUGGGUCUCUCCAAGAAAAGCACUUUAUUUCCGGCACUGCUCAGGGCCACAAAUAGACUUUGUGGUGGCGUGGGAGAAGUGUGGAUAGGUUCUGCUCUGUCCUUUCCGCAGUGUUAACUGGCAGCUAGAUCCAGUCAAAUCACUUAAAAUUCAUAAAUAUAUGGGAAGUGAAGCUCUAAGAAGACUCAGAUGCUUUCUGUCUUGUUUAUGAGCAGCACAGCAGGCUGGGAAGCUCUGGUUGGAGCAGCGUUUGAAGGCCCAUAGACGUGGGGAUCCAUCACAAGGAUUAUAGGAACUUCUGAAAUUUCUUUACAAAAGGCAAUUUCUUGGUAUAAAUUGAACGUUUAAAACUUUGGUAGUGUAACACUGAGAGAAUUCCAAUCCUGGGAGCAAGAACUCUUCCUGCUUUAGAUUUGUUUCUGGGGAGGAGGUAUAAUCUAAAUCUCCCAACAGGAAAAGAUAUUGUG